rnacentral:rRNA from 1 species
UACGUAGGGUGCGAGCGUUAAUCGGAAUUACUGGGCGUAAAGCGUGCGCAGGCGGUUCUGAAAGUCAGCUGUGAAAUCCCCGGGCUUAACCUGGGAAUGGCAUUUGGGACUGCAAGGCUGGAGUGUGGCAGAGGAGACUGGAAUUCCCGGUGUAGCAGUGAAAUGCGCAGAUAUCAGGAAGAACACCAAUGGCGAAAGCAGCUUUCUGGGACGGUACUGACGCUGAGACGCGAAAGCGUGGGGAGCGAACAGG